UACGUAGGUAGCAAGCGUUGUCCGGAUUUAUUGGGUUUAAAGGGUGCGUAGGCGGUUCUGUAAGUCAGUGGUGAAAUACUCUAGCUUAACUAGAGGGGUGCCAAUGAUACUGCAGAACUUGAGUACAGAUGAGGUAGGCGGAAUUGACGGUGUAGCGGUGAAAUGCAUAGAUAUCGUCAAGAACACCGAUAGCGAAGGCAGCUUACUGGGCUGUAACUGACGCUGAGGCACGAAAGUGUGGGGAUCAAACAGG
rnacentral:rRNA from 1 species